GAUGAAGAACGUAGCGAAAUGCGAUACUUGGUGUGAAUUGCAGAAUCCCGUGAACCAUCGAGUCUUUGAACGCAAGUUGCGCCCGAAGCCAUUAGGCCGAGGGCACGCCUGCCUGGGUGUCACACGUCGUUGCCCCCCCAUCUACUCCUUCGGGAUUGCGGGGGGCGGAUGAUGGCCUCCCGUGCGCCUCGUCGCGCGGUUGGCAUAAAUGCCAAGUCCUCGGCGACGCACGCCACGACAAUCGGUGGUUGCGAAACCUCGGUUGCCCGUCGUGUGCGGUCGUCGCGCAUCGAGGGCUCGAAAAAAUUGCCGGGCUCCGGCUCGGCUUUCAACGCGACCCCAGGUCAGGCGGGGUUACCCGCUGAAUUUAAGCAUAUCAAUAAGCAGAGGA
rnacentral:misc_RNA from 1 species